CCUACGGGAGGCAGCAGUGGGGGAUAUUGCACAAUGGGGGGAACCCUGAUGCAGCGACGCCGCGUGGGUGAAGACGUGCUUCUGCAUGUAAAGCCCUAUCCGCAGGGAAGAAGCAUGACGGUACCUGACGAAGAAGCCCCGGCUAACUACGUGCCAGCAGCCGCGGUAAUACGUAGGGGGCGAGCGUUAUCCGGAUUCACUGGGUGUAAAGGGAGCGUAGACGGCCAUGCAAGCUAGGGGUGAAAACCCGCGGCCCAACCCCGUGACUGCCCUCGGAACUGUGCGGCUAGAGUGCGGGAGGGGCAGGCGGAAUUCCUGGUGUAGCGGUGAAAUGCGUAGAUAGCAGGAGGAACACCGGCGGCGAAGGCGGCCUGCUGGAC
rnacentral:rRNA from 1 species